rnacentral:misc_RNA from 1 species
AGCAGCCGCGGUAAUUCCAGCUCCAAUAGCGUAUAUUAAAGUUGUUGCAGUUAAAAGCUCGUAGUUGAAUUUCGGGAUCAAUAUGCUGGUCGUGCCAUUGGUACGUACUAGUAUUAUUGGUUUCUCCUUUCUGAUGAAUCAUGAUGUCAUUAAUUUGAUGUCAUGAGGAAUCAGGACUGUUACUUUAGAAAAAUUAGAGUGUUUAAAGCAGGCUCGCGCUUGAAUACAUUAGCAUGGAAUAAUGAAAUAGGAUGUU